GCGGCACCGGCACAGGCACUGGCGCGGCGCGGCGCGGGGAGGAGGCGGGAUGCUCCCUCAGCUGCCCCUGCCCCCGGGAUGCUGACCCCCGCACCCCCCCGGAAAGGGCCCGCGAGCCGGGGAUUCCUCUUUGCCCGAUGGUUUUAUGGAGCUGGGAGAUUUGUGCCCGAGAUUCCCUGCACACCUGAAGGAAAGGCAUUAACAUAGAGACAAACGGAACACGCAGUGGCCGGGGAGACAAAGCCGCCUUUCAUGCCCUGUCCCUUCUGCCUCUCGUUAAUAAACAAAUGCUUUU